AUUGAACGCUGGCGGCAUGCUUUACACAUGCAAGUCGAACGGUAACAGGCCGCAAGGUGCUGACGAGUGGCGAACGGGUGAGUAAUGCAUCGGAACGUGCCCAGUCGUGGGGGAUAACUACUCGAAAGAGUAGCUAAUACCGCAUACGAUCUAUGGAUGAAAGCGGGGGACCGUAAGGCCUCGCGCGAUUGGAGCGGCCGAUGUCAGAUUAGGUAGUUGGUGGGGUAAAGGCUCACCAAGCCAACGAUCUGUAGCUGGUCUGAGAGGACGACCAGCCACACUGGGACUGAGACACGGCCCAGACUCCUACGGGAGGCAGCAGUGGGGAAUUUUGGACAAUGGGCGUAAGCCUGAUCCAGCAAUGCCGCGUGCAGGAAGAAGGCCUUCGGGUUGUAAACUGCUUUUGUACGGAACGAAACGGCUCUGGUUAAUACCCGGGGCUAAUGACGGUACCGUAAGAAUAAGCACCGGCUAACUACGUG
rnacentral:rRNA from 1 species